UAAACAGUAUAGUGGUGUAUCUGUAGGGUCUGGAUAGGUAUAAACAGUAUAGUGGUGUAUCUGUAGGUUCUGGAUAGGUAUAAACAGUAUAGUGGUGGAUCUGUAGGGUCUGGAUAGGUAUAAACAGUAUAGUGGUGGAUCUGUAGGGUCUGGCUAGGUAUAAACAGUAUAGUGGUAGGGUCUGGAUAGGUAUAAACAGUAUAGUGGUGUAUCUGUAGGGUCUGGAUAGGUAUAAACAGUAUAGUGGUAGGGUCUGGAUAGGUAUAAACAGUAUAGUGGUGUAUCUGUAGGGUCUGGAUAGGUAUAAACAGUAUAGUGGUGUAUCUGUAGGGUCUGGAUGGUAUUACCAGUAUGAAUGGAUAUUCCAUUCAC